rnacentral:lncRNA from 1 species
UUCAGGAGUCUAGGCUUUCAAAAAAAUCCAGUACAGUGAGAAAGACAUGACAUGGCUGAGAUGGAGAGAAUAUGAGGUGGCCACAGCAGAAAAGUUGAGAACAAUUUGAAAGAGGAAAAUCUGUGGCCAAAUUCAAGGCACCCUAGGCUGUGAUCCUGGAACUGAACAUCUGAUGAGUCAAUACAGGGCACGGAGUAGGACUUUGAAGUCCUCCAUUGGAUCUUCUCGGAAGAUGAGGGAAAUGAGAGAGUGUGGAGAGAGAUUUUGUAAGUCCGGUCUGGAAGUGGUCAUUGUUCAGAAUCCAGCCACGUGGGUACAUGGAACUGUAAGCUGUCUCUUAGCGAAGAAUAAAACUGUGGACUGACCCCCACCCAUUUGCGAAGAAAGUACUGGGUCUUCAGCUUUCAUUGUUCAGCCGGUGGUCUUUGUGGACAACACCAGGGGCCCCUCCUGCUGAAGACUGUCUGGACUUCCUGAUUUUCACUCCUGUAUAAACCCCCUCCCCCAUUACUACCUUUGUCUCCUUGGGGAAAAAAAAUGUUUUUCACUUAAGCAAAAUAAUAACUACCCAGUAUUUGUUUCUGGAGUGAAAUUGUAAACUUCAUUGUACAUUCUUCCUGGCUUUGAUGCUUAUCGUGAAGAGUUCAGUGAAAAUAAAUUGUUUUUAUGAAAGCAGAGAAACCAUUUGAUAAACACGCUGUCUCUGAAAAUCGUUCCUGCAAAAGAGGUCAUUCUUUCACUUUAAAAGAAAUAGAAUAUAUUUCAGAAAACAGGCAGGACAACAUACAAAUUUUUUUUUAAGGCAGAGUGUAAAUACAGUGAAAAUUGCACACCUCCUGAUUGUGUGGAGUGUUUUGG